CCCAAGACUGGUUGCCCACUGAAGCUAAGCAGGGUUGAGCCUGGUUAAUACCUGGAUGGGAGACCUCCUGGGAAAACUAGGUUGCUGUUGGAA
rnacentral:rRNA from 1 species